rnacentral:tRNA from 1 species
GUUAAGAUGGCAGAGCCCGGACUAAUGCGAGAGCCUUAAACACUCUAUAGAGGGGUUCAAAUCCCCUGCUUAACU